AGCCGAGGCUUAUUCCUGAGGUACCGUCCUUUCUCUUCCCCAGAAAAGGGUUUUACGACCCGAAGGCCUUCAUCACCCACGCGGCGUUGCUGCGUCUAGCUUUCGCUCAUUGCGCAAUAUUCCU
rnacentral:rRNA from 1 species